rnacentral:tRNA from 1 species
GUGGACGUAGCUCAGCUGGUAGAGCUCCGGGUUGUGGUUCCGGCGGUUCUGGGGUCGAGCCCCAUCGUCCACCCCA